ACGUAGGUGGCGAGCGUUGUCCGGAAUUAUUGGGCGUAAAGAGCGCGUAGGCGGCUUGCCAAGUCCGACGUGAAACCCCGGGGCUCAACUCCGGACGUGCAUCUGAAACUGGCUUGCUAGAGUAUAGUAGAGGGGAGUGGAAUUCCUGGUGUAGCGGUGAAAUGCGUAGAUAUCAGGAGGAACACCGAUAGCGAAGGCAGCUCACUGGAAUAGAACUGACGCUGAGGCGCGAAAGCUAGGGGAGCAAACAG
rnacentral:rRNA from 1 species